rnacentral:rRNA from 1 species
UACGUAGGGGGCGAGCGUUGUCCGGAAUUAUUGGGCGUAAAGAGCGUGUAGGCGGUUCGGUAAGUCUGCCGUGAAAACCUGGGGCUCAACCCCGGGCGUGCAGUGGAUACUGCCGGGCUAGAGGGUGGUAGAGGCGAGUGGAAUUCCCGGUGUAGCGGUGAAAUGCGCAGAUAUCGGGAGGAACACCAGUAGCGAAGGCGGCUCGCUGGGCCAUUCCUGACGCUGAGACGCGAAAGCUAGGGGAGCGAACAGG